rnacentral:rRNA from 1 species
GACGAACGCUGGCGGCGUGCUUAACACGUGCAAGUCGAGCGGCGCGGCGAACGGGUGAGUAACGCGUGAGUAACUGCCCCCCUCUCUGGGAUAACAGUUGGUAACGGCUGCUAAUACCGGAUCGAGGGGGAUGCCGCGCGUUCUAUCAGCUUGUUGGUGGGGUAUUGGCCUACAAAGGAGACGACGGGUCGCCGGCCUGUGAGGGCGACCGGCCACAUUGGGCAGGGGUGCGGGCCGAACUGCUACGGGGGGCAGCAAGGGGGAAGAGUGCACAAUGGGGGAAACGAUGAUGCAGCAUCGCCGGGUGGGGGAGGACGGCUGUCGGGUUGUAAACCGCUUUGAGCCAGGACGCGGUAGUGGCAGAAGAAGCACCGGCUAACUACGUGCCAGCAGCCGCGGUAAUAC